rnacentral:pre_miRNA from 1 species
UUCGCCUUCUCGUCGCCUUAAUUCGUGACACUUCUGGUGGAGGUGCGGGGUACGCUGCACGGGUUUCAUACCCCGCACCUCCACCAGAAAUGUCACGAAUUAAGGCGACGAGAGGGCGAA